GACAGAGGGUGCGAACGUUGUUCGGAAUUACUGGGCGUAAAGCGCGUGUAGGCGGUCCGGUAAGUCCGCUGUGAAAGUCGAGGGCUCAACCCUCGAAUGCCGGUGGAUACUGUCGGGCUUGAGUACGGGAGAGGCGAGUGGAAUUCCUGGUGUAGCGGUGAAAUGCGCAGAUAUCAGGAGGAACACCGAUUGCGAAGGCAGCUCGCUGGAACGUUACUGACGCUGAGACGCGAAAGCGUGGGGAGCAAACAGG
rnacentral:rRNA from 1 species